UAUUAUGGUAGAGGGUUAUGGGAGGUAUUAAUAUUAGGGUAGAGGGUUAUGGGAGGUAUUAAUACUACUGUUAAUAUUAUGGUAGAGGGUUAUGGGAGGUAGGAUCUGAACCCUGGUCUCCCAUGGGAGAAACCAACGUCCUGACUGUUUGUCCAAGAGGAAAUUCCCCCUUGGUGACAAUGAUUUUGAAGUUGCAGGCAUUGCUACCUCAUCACGAGAAUGUGAGCCCGGCUCAUAUCUGCUACAUAAGGGUCAAACUGGGGUCACACAGGGGUCAAUGUCUGAGGUCAGGGUAGGGGGUUAUAGGAGGUAUUAAUACUGCUGUUCAUAUUGUCACUACUGUUGGUAUUAUUGCUCAUGUUUACUUUGACAAUAUAAACGGCAAAUUUUCCAUGUCAACUAAGUCAAUACAAUUACAGGGUAGAUGUGAGACCACCAAAGUGCACUACUUUUGACCACAGCCACGUUAGACUUACUGUAUCAGGAACAGGUUGUUAUCUGAUCGUUUCCCCAGGAGGUGAGAAGAAUAGAAUGUGAUUCAUGUCUUAAAGUUCCCAGAAACACGCUCUGGCACCUGCAUGCACUUGAUUCAGACUUGACUAGGUCUUAGUUAUCACUUGAUUCAGACUUGACUAGGUCUUAGUUAUCACUUGAUUCAGACUUGACUAGGUCUUAGUUAUCACUUGAUUCAGACUUGACUAGGUCUUAGUUAUCACUUGAUUCAGACUUGACUAGGUCUUAGUUAUCACUUGAUUCAGACUUGACUAGGUCUUAGUUAGCACUUGAUUCAGACUUGACUAGGUCUUAGUUAGCACUUGAUCCAGACUUGACUAGGUCUUAGUUAUCACUUGAUUCAGACUUGACUAGGUCUUAGUUAUCACUUGAUUCAGACUUGACUAGGUCUUAGUUAUCACUUGAUUCAGACUUGACUAGGUCUUAGUUAUCACUUGAUUCAGACUUGACUAGGUCUUAGUUAUCACUUGAUUCAGACUUGACUAGGUCUUAGUUAUCACUUGAUUCAGACUUGACUAUUUAUUAGUUAUCACUUGAUUCAGACUUGACUAGGUCUUAGUUAUCACUUGAUUCAGACUUGACUAGGUCUUAGUUAGCACUUGAUUCAAAUUAUAUAUAUAUAAAUAUAUUUUUUUCCCUCAAACUGAGUUCUCCCCCCUCUACUUCUCCCUCUCUCUCGCUGCCCCCCCCUUUCUACUUCUCCCCCCCCUACU